CCACUGUUCAAAUGGCGAACGAGCGCCUAUAUUCGUAGCGUCACCGCAAGGCGACUAUGGCGAUAAACGGACUUCGUAAUAGAUUUUCCGGACCCGGGGGCGGUACCCGGCGCCUCCACCCAAGCAGCCGCGUGGCCGUUUGGGUGGGGGCGAAACAGCUUCGACGGGGAGUUGAAAGGAAGUUUUUUUGCCCGGCAUGAUACCACCGUUAUCGGGUCAAACCUGUAGUUGCAAAUGACAACUAUGCUCCGGUGGCCCUCGCUGCGUAAUGCAGUGCUGGUACCGAAAUUAAGCCCUGUGGGUUAGCCCCUUCAGGCGGGGUCCGGAGGCACCUGGCAACAGAAGCCUCCACU
rnacentral:tmRNA from 1 species